CAUUCGGCGCAUCGUAGUCUUUGAACCGCCGUACGUUUUGACCAGUUCACAUGUUUGUCGUGCUGUAACGUUACCACCGUAGCCAAGCUACCUCUCCUGCACGUAAUUGCUACGUGAAAGUCUGGCAGUCGACCGUCUUUGUGGCAGCGUUGUGCGCAAGCGUGUUCAGGCUACAUGCAAGAAGUAAUGGCAACCAGGCAGUGCCAUGUAAUCUUACGUCGUGGAUGUGUUUAACUGGUGCGGCCGGAACAAGUGUCAAAGUAUACCAGUGCAUACUUCCUCGUCGUCAACGUUUUGUGGUUUCCAGUGCAACCAGAGGUGAAGGUUGUGGCGUGUGGCGUGUGCCUGCUGCCAUGGAAAUUGCGUUCGUGGAGCCAAAGUGACGAUUCUCUAGCUACGCCAACAUAAUGAAGCCGCCGAAGGAACUAGACUAGCGCAACUUCCCCGCUCGGCUAACGCAGUUGGCGGGAUUCUAAGAAGGCAGCUCCACGAGACGCAACUAUGGACGCUUCCAACAAGUUUCCGUGCCAUCUCUGAUCUGACUUUCGAAGCAACUGGUUUACUCAGACGGAAGCGGGAACGCCUGAUCCGGAUUUACGCCAGCUGCUGCAUUUCCCAUCCAGUCAAGGUACGCAUCGAGAUGCUGAUCAGGAGGCAUCAUACCCACAACACGUUCCCACCUCAUGAACUGUUCUUCUGCGUCAAACAUCUAGCGUCCCUUUGAAGCCUAG